rnacentral:lncRNA from 1 species
UUGUGCUCUCUCUCUCUCUCUCUCUCUCUCUCUCUCUCUCUCUCUCUCUCUCUCUGUCCAAAAGUCCAGAUUCAUCUUCAACAGCUCACCGUGCCAAUCCUACAAGCAUCAACUAUGGCAACAAAAUCUAUACCUCAUCACCCUCUACAAUUCCAACGCAGGUAAUUAAUUAGUUGCUUCUUAAUUUCAUUUGACAACUAAGUAGUUGAAAUAAUGUGAUUGUACAAUAUUCACGGCAGGCAAACAAUAUCCAUUUGGGGUCUGUUCC